CAGAAGGUCACAGAGUGGAAAUGGAGGAACCGGCCUCUCUCAGGCUGUAGGAAGGAAGAAGGGUGAGGUUGAAUUCCUGGAAGUUGUCUGGCAGAGAAAGGGGGAAGCACAAGGAGAGGUUAUGACAAAGGGAGAUCUUGAACAGUCACCGUGGGUCAGCACUCACAGGGAGACCGCCAAGGCCCGGACAGACUUACCAUGGUUGAUGGUGAUCAGACCUCUACCAGGAGUACUGGGACAAGAGGCCUGGGAAGCUGAUGGACAGAAUAUUUACCACCCUGCAAGGAGAAGGCCAUCCACUACUCCACUGCUCUGGCCAGCAGGAACAUCUUGUCCUUUGUUUGCUGUGACCAACUCAACCCCCUGCUGCUGGAGCCUGGCCUGGCACCUAUCCUAGGCAGAAGGCCAGGCUUUCCCAAAUCCAGCAAGCACAUUGUGAGCAGCCUUGGGAUUCAGAAGGCUGGAAUGGCAGACAUCUGGCCCAGCUGG